UAUCCAUCCAAUGCAGAGAGAGAAAUAUCAUUAUUCUCCGUUUCUUCGCCUCCAUUCCUCUCUGGUCUCCCCUUCUCCCUCACCUUCACAGAUUAUAACUCAUUCAUCUCUCUUUCUAUAGAACUCACUCAAUCGGAUAUGUCUCUUUCUACAAAACUCACUCGAUCUUCUUUGGAGAUUAGGGGUUUAUUGUUGAGUUUUGUGUAAACAGGGAUGAAAUUGAUGAUGAAGAUACAAAAGAAGAAAAACACGCUUACAAAUUUUGAUACAGGAUUUGUUGUUGUGGUAUUUCUCUUUCUCUACAGCAAGAAGGGGUUCGCUGGCAAGGUUAUUAUACAUAUCUACAACAAAAAGGGUAUAUGCAUUACAAACUAUGGGAAAACAUGGGAGAAGUUAAUGAUGGCAAAAGCAUACUACGCCAAGGUUAAUGAAUCUAAUCCUUCAUGCCUAUCCUCCAAAUCAAAGUUUGGACUUGUUGAUUGGGACAAGUUAGAUGCAGAAAUAAUAUUUAAUUAGUUAAUUACUCGGUGGUGCUAUAGGUAGAGAAAGGUGGACAAAAUGUUGAUGGUGGUUAUUAUAUUUAGUUUUAGUGGAUGGGCUGUUCGUUGAGUUCUUCCAUUAGCAGGGUAACUCUUACGUAUGGAACUAAGAUGAGUCUUUUUGUCUUAUUUACCAAUUCAGGUCAUAAAACAUGAUAUUAACAGGCAUCAUAGAAUUCUUUUUGGAUGUUAGAGUUAAUUCUUAAUCAACACUAAGGGCUUCUAAUAUGGUGUUGAUACCUUGUCUUCUCUUUCAGCCAAUGGAAAUAUUUGUGGGUGAUGAGGCCACGCUGAAAUUGCAAGUUACUGGGGGAAAGUUCACAUUCUAUUUUUUAAGUUAAUGUCAAGUCCUUGGAUUCACAGAUCUAUAUAUUCCAAGUUGAGAAAAAUAUGUCAUGUUUUUGACUAUAGUAUUGGUGUAGCUUAUCAUUAGUGUUUUUUACAUUGUUCAAUGCUGACAAAUUGCAGAGGCCAGUUCCAUUGUUCAAGGAGAAAAUAGCUGGGACAUUCAGUGUGCCAGUUGAGCAACAUCGUCUUAUAUUUAGGGGAAAUGUUUUGAAGGAAAACCAGUUCCUCUGAGAAUAUUACAUAGAAGAUGGAGAUACACUGCGUCUAGUAGUGGCAAGAUAACUAGUUCAACCCCAAACUGCAUCUGGAACAACUUCUGUAGAGGCGAAUGCAAACACCAAUGGGAAAGGAAAUGUCCGAGUACUGCUGCUCCGCGUAAUCAGGUGGUCAAGUUUCACACAACGUAGUUCUUGGAACGUUUAAUCUUGGCGACCAAAGUGAAGAUGGUGUUCCUGACGUUACUCGGGUAUCAAAAUAUUUGCCAAUGCUACUAAUCAGGUAUCUCAAGCUGCUGGAACUGAAGGAACACGUGGAAAUAUUGCUGGAAUAGGUGGACAGACCUUUCCAAAUCAACCAUUUCAAUCCUUGUAAUUUCUUUUGACAGGGAAGUUAUAAAUGUUUCUUCACAUCAAAAGGAACUAGAUGAAUGUGGAUUGUAGAUAUUCGAUCACAAUGUUAUGUAGAGUUCUAUACCUUUAUGGAUGUCGUCUCUCUCUUCUAGAUGGUCUCAUGAGGGUCACUGAUGUCAUGGUUGAUGGUAAAAUCGCUGUUGUUGCUCGAUAAGUUAAUCUUGGAAAGGGUUGUGCUUCUGCAAUUCUGUUCUCAAGCAAGCUUGUGCCAAGGUCAUAAUGACUGAAAUUGUUGAAAUUUUUAGGACUUGCAUCACCUCUCUUUAAGAAAACUUGAACUUGUUAAUUAGCAGCUGAAUCCUUUUUUAUUUUUGUGAGUUUGGACUAAACUUAUGAGUAAUUCAAUGUAAUAGAGUUGUCAUUUUGUAUCAGAUGAAUCUGGUUUUAUAUGGAAUUUGAAUUUGAAUUUGAAUUGUUCAUUAGAA